GCUACUUUUCCCAAGAAGUACGGAAUCCGAGAAAUAUAUUACUAUUGGUUAUUAUUCGCCUCUAGAGGGCGCUGAAUGGACCGCAACGUGAGAGAGUUACCCUGGACAAGAGCAGAGCAGAAGCUUGCUACAUCAUCUUUUACCAGAAGAGGAUUCAUUAUCCAUUUCAAGGUUGUUCUGGAAAGAGCGAGCUUUGGACCUCCUUGAUAAUCUUGUUGAGAGGUACCCCUGGAGAUGACCACUUCCAGUUAUCUUUUCUCCAUUGCUAAACUGGACAGCCUUGGAGAUCCAGCUUUGGAGAUGGUGCUUUAACAAGUCAGCCAGCUAUCCUUUCUCCACUGCCAUACAGAUUGUGCAGCAAGAUGGUUCGGCCCUCAUACCAGGAGGCAAAACAAGAAUUUGUUUAUUUGCGACUUCUAGGUGCAUUAUUUAUGACAACAAACUUUGGACAUUAUUUAAGUUGUGUGUAUACUUGUAUUUCGGUCAGUACUUAGAGGAGGAGGAGCAACAGAGACAGAACCCUCUUGUCCUGCUGCUUGGGGAUGAACUAAACUGCUCUCAGUCGUUUGUUAUUGUGAAUGAAGUGGCACUAAAUUC